rnacentral:rRNA from 1 species
UACGUAGGGGGCAAGCGUUGUCCGGAAUCAUUGGGCGUAAAGAGCGUGUAGGCGGCCCGGUAAGUCCGCUGUGAAAGUCGAGGGCUCAACCCUCGAAUGCCGGCGGAUACUGUCGGGCUAGAGUCCGGAAGAGGCGAGUGGAAUUCCUGGUGUAGCGGUGAAAUGCGCAGAUAUCAGGAGGAACACCGGUGGCGAAGGCGGGUCUCUGGGCCGAUAUUGACGCUGAGGAGCGAAAGCGUGGGGAGCGAACAGG